rnacentral:rRNA from 1 species
UACGGAGGGUGCAAGCGUUAUCCGGAUUCACUGGGUUUAAAGGGUGCGUAGGUGGGCAGGUAAGUCAGUGGUGAAAUCUCCGAGCUUAACUCGGAAACUGCCAUGGAUACUAUGAGUCUUGAAUGUUGUGGAGGUUUGCGGAAUAUGUCAUGUAGCGGUGAAAUGCUUAGAUAUGACAUAGAACACCGACUGCGAAGGCAGCAGGCUACACAAAUAUUGACGCUGAGGCACGAAAGCGUGGGGAGCAAACAGG